ensembl:lncRNA
CUUUGUUUACAUACUCAUCUCAUAUGUAUAUACUGUACUCGAUACCAUCUACUGUAUCUUGCCUAUGCUGCUCUGUACCAUCACUCAUUCAUAUAUCUUUAUGUACAUAUUCUUUAUCCCCUUACACUGUGUAUAAGACAGUAGUUUUUUUGGAAUUGUUAGUUAGAUUACUUGCUCGUUAUUACUGCAUUGUCGGAACUAGAAGCACAAGCAUUUCGCUACACUCGCAUUAACAUCUGCUAACCAUGUGUAUGUGACAAAUAAAAUUUGAUUUGACUAUACUAUGCUAUAGGUACUUGCUAGCUACACUACUGCUAUACUAUAGGUACUUGCUUACUACUAUGCUAUGCUUUAGGUACUUGCUAGCUACUAUACUACUACCAUACUACUACUAUGCUAUGCUAUAGGUACUUGCUUACUACUAUGCUAUGCUAUAGGUACUUGCUAGCUACUAUACUACUACCAUACUACUACUAUGCUAUGCUAUAGGUACUUGCUUACUACUAUGCUAUGCUAUAGGUACUUGCUAGCUACAAUACUGCUAUACUAUAGGUACUUGCUUACUACUAUGCUAUGCUUUAGGUACUUGCUAGCUACUAUACUGCUAUGCUAUAGGUACUUGCUAGCUACUAUACUAUACUAUA